AUUGAACGCUGGCGGCAGGCUUAACACAUGCAAGUCGAGCGGUAACAGAGAGAAGCUUGCUUCUCUGCUGACGAGCGGCGGACGGGUGAGUAAUGCCUAGGAAUCUGCCUAGUAGUGGGGGAUAACUUGCCGAAAGGUAAGCUAAUACCGCAUACGUCCUACGGGAGAAAGGAGGGGACCUUCGGGCCUUACGCUAUUAGAUGAGCCUAGGUCGGAUUAGUUAGUUGGUGAGGUAAUGGCUCACCAAGACCGCGAUCCGUAACUGGUCUGAGAGGAUGAUCAGUCACACUGGAAAUGAGAAACGGUCCAGGCUCCUACGGGAGGCAGCAGUGGGGAAUAUUGGACAAUGGGGGGAACCCUGACCCAGCCAUGCCGCGUGUGUGAAGAAGGUCUUAGGAUUGUAAAGCACUUUAAGUUGGGAGGAAGAGCAGUUAACUAAUAUUUGACUGUUUUGACGUUACCGACAGAAUAAGCACCGGCUAACUUCGUGCCAGCCGCCGCCGUAA
rnacentral:rRNA from 1 species